GACGAACGCUGGCGGCGUGCUUAACACAUGCAAGUCGAACGGAAAGGCCCUGCUUGCAGGGUGCUCGAGUGGCGAACGGGUGAGUAACACGUGGGUGAUCUGCCCCUUACUUUGGGAUAAGCCUGGGAAACUGGGUCUAAUACUGGAUAGGACCAUGCUGUAGGUGGUGUGGUGGAAAGAUUAGUUUCGGUAAGGGAUGAGCUCGCGGCCUAUCAGCUUGUUGGUGGGGUAAUGGCCUACCAAGGCGUCGACGGGUAGCCGGCCUGAGAGGGUGGACGGCCACAUUGGGACUGAGAUACGGCCCAGACUCCUACGAGAGGCAGCAGUGGGGAAUAUUGCACAAUGGGCGCAAGCCUGAUGCAGCGACGCCGCGUGGGGGAUGACGGCAUUCGGGUUGUAAACUCCUUUCAGCCAUGACGAAGCCCUUGUGGUGACGGUAGUGGUAGAAGAAGCACCGGCUAACUACGUG
rnacentral:rRNA from 1 species